UUCGGUCCCUGAGUAAAGUGGCGCACGGGUGAGUAACACGUGGAUAAUCUGCCCGGUGACCCGGAAUAACAUCCCGAAAGGGGUGCUAAUACCGGAUAAGCUCACGAGAUCUUCGGAUCUUGCGGGAAAAGGUGGGGACCUUCGGGCCUACCGUCACCGGAUGAGUCCGCGGCCCAUUAGCUAGUUGGUGGGGUAAUGGCCUACCAAGGCUUCGAUGGGUAGCUGGUCUGAGAGGAUGAUCAGCCACACUGGAACUGAGACACGGUCCGGACUCCUACGGGAGGCAGCAGUGGGGACUUUUGCGCAAUGGGCGAAAGCCUGACGCAGCAACGCCGCGUGAGGGAUGAAGGCCUUCGGGUCGUAAACCUCUGUCAGAGGGGAAGAACCGUCGGUGGGAUAAUACCCCAUCGGCCUGACGGUACCCUCAGAGGAAGCACCGGCUAACUCCGUGCCAGCAGCCGCGGUAAUACGGAGGGUGCAAGCGUUGUUCGGAAUUAUUGGGCGUAAAGCGCGUGUAGGCGGCCACUUAAGUCUGGUGUGAAAGCCCUGGGCUCAACCCGGGAAGUGCAUCGGAUACUGAGU
rnacentral:rRNA from 1 species